CACGGUGGCUGUGUUUCACUAACUCCCCGCUCCCUCAUACUGGCUCAUUGGGUCACUGGCUCUGUGGUUCUACCGAUUAAUUGAAAAGAGCCGGUUCGAAAGAACCUCCUCCUUCACGAAUCGGGCGUCGCUGCUGAGUAGCCCGGUAAUCCGCGUGGUUUCAAGUGGUUACGCGGCUGGAUUCGUGAGACUCAUAAGACACGAAACAAACCGAGUGACCGAUUCUGAUUCCUCCGAAAGUCUAUUCGAGAGUUAAAACAACCGGAUUAACUCAUGCACUGAAAGGAGAAAGAAUACUUUGAGACAGAUUCGCCUUCCAAAAAAUCCAACACAGAAACAAGACACACACACACAACUGCACGUGAGGCAGGAGACUGGCCAAAGGCUUGAGAGUCUGCAGUGGCCGAGUGGAGUUUCCGAGCAGGCAGGUGACAGACCAGGAAAGCUGGGAGAUGGAUCUGGUAGCUGGCCGGCCUGAGGACGACAGACGUGAGCGUUCACAGGGGGCCUCCUAUUAGCAGGCAGGAAGUGAGCCUUUCUCAGACAGAGCUUAAAGUGCUCUGGGCCUCUGGUCAGACAAAACCCACGGAAACGCUACAGCGUCCCGUUUCUGAAACAUUAUCAUACUAAUGAGCUGUCAUUAGGCGAUUGCAUUCCUUUGGAGAACAGAAGGAGGAGGAGGGGCUUUGUGCGUUUACAAUUCCUUUGGAAGAGGAGGCUGUUUUCUCUUGCCGGGGUGGGGUGUGACAGACAGGCACUGCAUCCUCUCAUCAGAUGUGGCGUGGGGGUGGGGUGGA